rnacentral:ncRNA from 1 species
GUCGACUGGUCAGAGGCUUUCUGUACAAGGUCAGACAGUAUCCCACCCGGCCCACUAGUGAAACUGGUUCAAUCCCAGUAUCGCGCACCACGAUUGACCUGCGGUUUCAUCCACAAAAUCUGGGCUGCGUGAACUAAAUGUGAACUGACUCGGUGCAACCACCGAAAGGUUCCU